GUGACUGCGUACCUUUUGUAUAAUGGGUCAGCGACUUAUAUUCUGUAGCAAGGUUAACCGUAUAGGGGAGCCGGAGGGAAACCGAGUCUUAACCGGGCGUUAAGUUGCAGGGUAUAGACCCGAAACCCGGUGAUCUAGCCAUGGGCAGGUUGAAGGUUGGGUAACACUAACUGGAGGACCGAACCGACUAAUGUUGAAAAAUUAGCGGAUGACCUGUGGCUGGGGGUGAAAGGCCAAUCAAACCGGGAGAUAGCUGGUUCUCCCCGAAAGCUAUUUAGGUAGCGCCUCGUGAAUUCAUCUCCGGGGGUAGAGCACUGUUUCGGCUAGGGGGCCAUCCCGGCUUACCAACCCGAUGCAAACUGCGAAUACCGGAGAAUGUUAUCACGGGAGACACACGGCGGGUGCUAACGUCCGUCGUGAAGAGGGAAACAACCCAGACCGCCAGCUAAGGUCCCAAAGUCAUGGUUAAGUGGGAAACGAUGUGGGAAGGCCCAGACAGCCAGGAUGUUGGCUUAGAAGCAGCCAUCAUUUAAAGAAAGCGUAAUAGCUCACUGGUCGAGUCGGCCUGCGCGGAAGAUGUAACGGGGCUAAACCAUGCACCGAAGCUGCGGCAGCGAGUUAAUCGGGGCAGGGUGAGUCGACCCCUAAGGCGAGGCCGAAAGGCGUAGUCGAUGGGAAACGGGUUAAUAUUCCCGUACUUGGUGUUACUGCGAAGGGGGGACGGAGAAGGCUAUGUUGGCCGGGCGACGGUUGUCCCGGUUUAAGCGUGUAGGUGUGUGUUCCAGGUAAAUCCGGUUCACUUUAACACUGAGGCGUGACGACGAGGCACUACGGUGCUGAAGCAACAAAUGCCCUGCUUCCAGGAAAAGCCUCUAAGCAUCAGGUAACAUCAAAUCGUACCCCAAACCGACACAGGUGGUCAGGUAGAGAAUACCAAGGCGCUUGAGAGAACUCGGGUGAAGGAACUAGGCAAAAUGGUGCCGUAACUUCGGGAGAAGGCACGCUGACAYGUAGGUGAAGUGAUUUACUCAUGGAGCUGAAGUCAGUCGAAGAUACCAGCUGGCUGCAACUGUUUAUUAAAAACACAGCACUGUGCAAACACGAAAGUGGACGUAUACGGUGUGACGCCUGCCCGGUGCCGGAAGGUUAAUUGAUGGGGUCAGCGCAAGCGAAGCUCCUGAUCGAAGCCCCGGUAAACGGCGGCCGUAACUAUAACGGUCCUAAGGUAGCGAAAUUCCUUGUCGGGUAAGUUCCGACCUGCACGAAUGGCGUAAUGAUGGCCAGGCUGUCUCCACCCGAGACUCAGUGAAAUUGAACUCGCUGUGAAGAUGCAGUGUACCCGCGGCAAGACGGAAAGACCCCGUGAACCUUUACUAUAGCUUGACACUGAACAUUGAGCCUUGAUGUGUAGGAUAGGUGGGAGGCUUUGAAGUGUGGACGCCAGUCUGCAUGGAGCCGRCCUUGAAAUACCACCCUUUAAUGUUUGAUGUUCUAACGUGGACCCGUGAUCCGGGUUGCGGACAGUGUCUGGUGGGUAGUUUGACUGGGGCGGUCUCCUCCUAAAGAGUAACGGAGGAGCACGAAGGUUGGCUAAUCCUGGUCGGACAUCAGGAGGUUAGUGCAAUGGCAUAAGCCAGCUUGACUGCGAGCGUGACGGCGCGAGCAGGUGCGAAAGCAGGUCAUAGUGAUCCGGUGGUUCUGAAUGGAAGGGCCAUCGCUCAACGGAUAAAAGGUACUCCGGGGAUAACAGGCUGAUACCGCCCAAGAGUUCAUAUCGACGGCGGUGUUUGGCACCUCGAUGUCGGCUCAUCACAUCCUGGGGCUGAAGUAGGUCCCAAGGGUAUGGCUGUUCGCCAUUUAAAGUGGUACGCGAGCUGGGUUUAGAACGUCGUGAGACAGUUCGGUCCCUAUCUGCCGUGGGCGCUGGAGAACUGAGGGGGGCUGCUCCUAGUACGAGAGGACCGGAGUGGACGCAUCACUGGUGUUCGGGUUGUCAUGCCAAUGGCACUGCCCGGUAGCUAAAUGCGGAAGAGAUAAGUGCUGAAAGCAUCUAAGCACGAAACUUGCCCCGAGAUGAGUUCUCCCUGAGACUU
rnacentral:rRNA from 1 species